rnacentral:lncRNA from 1 species
CUUUUGUUUCAGUUACUUCUUGCUAUUCUCAUCUGAGUAAAUAUUAUCCCAUCAUUGCGGAGAGUCAGCAAUCCCAUGUAUGUUUCUGGACUUGAGGAGUAACAUAUGAUAUGCAAACAAUCCAAGCCAUGCCAAAGAAGAAAAGAGAUUAUAUUUAUACCAGACUAAGAAUUUGAAAGAGCAAAUGCUGGAAUACGUAACAGCAUGGGUAAAUUUGAAAGAUUAUAUUUACCCACAAAAUGAAGAAAAGGACGGAGAAUGCAUCAGAUGUCUGAGGAUUUAUCUUUAGCCUCUAAAGCUGGAUGUAUUCCUUAUAUGCAUU